rnacentral:rRNA from 1 species
UUUUUCCUACGGGAGGCAGCAGUGGGGAAUAUUGGGCAAUGGGCGCAAGCCUGACCCAGCAACGCCGCGUGAAGGAAGAAGGUUUUCGGGUUGUAAACUUCUUUUCUCAGGGACGAAGCAAGUGACGGUACCUGAGGAAUAAGCCACGGCUAACUACGUGCCAGCAGCCGCGGUAAUACGUAGGUGGCAAGCGUUAUCCGGAUUUACUGGGUGUAAAGGGCGUGUAGGCGGGGACGCAAGUCAGAUGGGAAAACCAUGGGCUCAACCUGUGGCC